rnacentral:rRNA from 1 species
UGGGGAAUUUUGGACAAUGGGCGAAAGCCUGAUCCAGCAAUGCCGCGUGUGUGAAGAAGGCCUUCGGGUUAUAAAGCACUUUUGUCCGGAAAGAAAUCCUUGGCUCUAAUACAGUCGGGGGAUGACGGUACCGGAAGAAUAAGCACCGGCUAACUACGUGCCAGCAGCCGCGGUAAUACGUAGGGUGCAAGCGUUAAUCGGAAUUACUGGGCGUAAAGCGUGCGCAGGCGGUUUGCUAAGACCGAUGUGAAAUCCCCGGGCUCAACCUGGGAACUGCAUUGGUGACUGGCAGGCUAGAGUAUGGCAGAGGGGGGUAGAAUUCCACGUGUAGCAGUGAAAUGCGUAGAGAUGUGGAGGAAUACCGAUGGCGAAGGCAGCCCCCUGGGCCAAUACUGACGCUCAUGCACGAAAGCGUGGGGAGCAAACAGGAUUAGAUACCCUGGUAGUCCACGCCCUAAAACGAUGUCAACUAGUUGUUGGGGAUUCAUUUCCUUAGUAACGUAGCUAACGCGUGAAGUUGACCGCCUGGGGAGUACGGUCGCAAGAUUAAAACUUAAAGGAAUUGACGGGGUCAUAGCUGUUUCCU